GGUGCGGUAGUUCAGAAGGAUAGAAUAUCGGCCUGUCACGCCGGAGGUCACGGGUUCAAAUCCCGUUCGCACCG
rnacentral:tRNA from 1 species